rnacentral:misc_RNA from 1 species
UCUCUCUCUCUCUCUCUGAGUUUCUCUCUCUGAGAGGCGAUCCCUAAUCCAAAGCCUUAUUUCUUUUUGUUUUAAUCUUUCUUUAUUCUCCGAUUUCUUGCUCUAAAGAUUCCUAAUUUUUGUUACAUUCUGCUUCUGUUCGCAUUGAAUUUCUCUAGGUGCUUUGUUCAGCUUUCUGUUGGCUUAGAUAAUUGCACACAGCGGAUGCCAUUUGGGUUUUCCGUUCUUGCGAGCGAUACAGCGUCUUUGUUGCCAAUUUCGCUUCACCGUUUGGAUUCGGUUGGUAUUGUGUUUCGUGAGUUGAUCGAUUCGGUUGGCUGUGGAGCGCGGAUUUGGCUUUGUGUUUAGGUGCGUGAGAGCGAGGAUUAUUGGGAUUUUUUUUUAAACAAUUUUUUUUUUCUAAUUCUGUGAUGAGAAUCGUUAUCAGACGAUGAACGAUGCCGGUGCUGCGUAGUGGAGCGCGCAGGGGCCGGGGAGCAGCAACAGCAGCAGCGAAGCAGCAGACAAAUCCGACCGAGGCAGUAGAGGCAAUCGCAACAAGGACACGCAGAAGACGUGCGGAAGCUGCGGCCGCUGGGGCUGCACCUAAAAACAAUAAUACUAACAACAAUAACGAAAAGGACCAGCAGCAGCCGGUAGAUGAAAACAUAGUUGCUGUUGCUGCAGUGGCGGCGGGGGCAGUAGCAGUGAAUCAGGGGGAGAAUAGGGGUUUAGAGGGGGGAGUGGGAGUUGCUGGUGUUGGCGUUAUUGGUGGAGGGGCGGAAAAGGAGGAAGUAGGAGAGAAGCCUAUGGAUGACUACGAUGGUGGCGGGAAAAGUAAUGAAAAAGCCAAUGCUGGUGAAGAUGAGGGAAGCACUGCUCCACUUCCUGAGAAGGUUUGUUGAGUUUUAGUUUUACAUUAAUUUCAAGUGCAUUUGUUGAUAUAUGAUUAUACAUAUAGAUUGUUGAUCUUUUUAAAGGUUUUUGCAGUUUAGGUUUGAUAUUGGGGUUAUAGUGGCUGCUGUGAGUUGUGUUUUAAGUUGUAGGAAUUGCAUUUCCUCAUCUUUUAGAUAUAGUAAAAGGACAGUUUUUAUCUCUUCUCUUCUGGUUUGGGGCUACAAUGGGUUGUUUUAGUGUUAUUGGUAGGAUAAUUUUACUGAUUUUGAAGGAGUUACCAACCCUUCAAGCAAUUGGGUAAAUUAUGGGGUUCCUAGUUCGGUUUCUGAUCGUUGCAUUGAACUUUCUGUACCUGAUGGGGGUUAUUGUUGUUUGGAAAAUUUGGGGUUCUAUAGAAGCAUUGCAAAGUCUGUAAGUAUCUAUGUUUGUGUCUUUUUUCUGGGGAUUUAGGAUGUUCAAUCAAGAAUGUGAUCCAACUGUUUUUAUUUGUGUGGUUUAUUAUAUGGAAUCUUAGACAAAGAAUUUUCUGUAAUUUUUACUGUUGGCAUUUUAUUAUUAUUGUCUGCAUACAUUGCUGAUCUUUACAGGUGGUAGUUACUCUCUAGUUUUCCUUCCAAAAGUCUGACUUUAGGUUCCUUUUUUAAAUGUGACAAGACAUGGCAGUUUCUGAACUAUAUGGCUUAUUUCAGUAAAUUGCCUUUCAUAAGUAUACAUGGCUAGACAACAUAACCUGAAAGUGAUCACUUAGCAUGCAUGUUACAACUUCAUCUCUUCCUCAAUUCUAGGUGUAGUGUUUCUUUUGGUUAAUUUAAUUUAUGAUUUGCUUGUAGUUAAACUUGAGCGAGUAAUCAAUUUACUAAAUUAUCGCACUUAGGAUGUGCUUAAUGGCAGCUUGCAUUCAUCAUUUUUGUUGUUGCAAGUGCUAUGCACCAUGGGGAUAAUGUAUCUUGCUUGGUUCAAGCAAUUCGACCCCAAUUGUUGGUCAGUUUUUGAAAUUUGGAUUUGCUAAUUUUCUGUGCUGAUCUUUGAACAUAUAAAAUUUAAGAUCUGUUACUGAUGGGACCUAUAUUAUCCGGUCUAUAUUGACUUUUUCAUAAAUGGGAAUCUAUAUUGAUUAAUGGAUUUUCCCACAUACACAUUGAUUUGCCCAUUUCUAUGAUGGCGAAUGCUUUGCUUUAGGGCAAAUUUAUGAAGUGCUUAACUUCAUUACCGCCCUUUCCUUCCAUUGGUUUCUAUGUUUUCAUAGUCCCAGUCCCACCUCCACUGCAAAUUGUGGUCCAUUCUGAAUACAAAGUUUUGUUACGGCACUCAAUUCAUUACAGGGUCAAUGCAGUUUUUUAAUCUAAAUUAUUCUUAGAUUAGUGUGUUGCAUGCCCCCAAUAACAUUCUUUGAAUACAUAAGUGUUAUUAAGGUG